AACGACUCUCGGCAACGGAUAUCUCGGCUCUCGCAUCGAUGAAGAACGUAGCGAAAUGCGAUACUUGGUGUGAAUUGCAGAAUCCCGUGAACCAUCGAGUCUUUGAACGCAAGUUGCGCCCAAAGCCUUUUGGUUGAGGGCACGUCUACCUGGGU
rnacentral:rRNA from 1 species